GCGAUCCACAACAAGUUCUUUGUAGAACUUUAAAAAAAACCAUUUUGCAUUAAAAGAAUGCUUUCAUGUGAUAAUGCCGGGGAAGGUUUUCCGGUUUAUCCCGGGAGGGCUUGUAGCUCAGUUGGUUAGAGCGCGCGCUUGAUAAGCGUGAGGUCGGAGGUUCAAGUCCUCCCAGGCCCACCAAUUAUCCAUCGAUAGAAAAGCGCUUAGGAAGCUUGAAAAGAGCUUUCUCGUAAAGUUUAAAAAAACUUGUUUAUCGCUUUUUGUAAGAUGUGGCGUUUGUCUGUUUUUAAAGCGGUCGAGACCAAAAGUGUUGCAAAGACAAGAGUCUUGGAGCAGGAAAGAACAUAAGAUCCAGGUGGUGUCACAUGGUCUAGAGUUAAACUGUUCAGGAUUGGAAUAUUCCAUGUUGAAAUGCUGCGAUAUAAAGGUUUCGGAUAAAUUAUUCCGUUUUGGGGCCGUAGCUCAGCUGGGAGAGCACCUGCUUUGCAAGCAGG
rnacentral:misc_RNA from 1 species